UACGUAGGUGGCAAGCGUUGUCCGGAUUUACUGGGCGUAAAGGGCGUGCAGGCGGUCUGUUUAGUCUAGGGUGAAAGCUCCCGGCUCAACUGGGAGAGGUCCUUGGAUACUGGCAGACUUGAGGGAGGUAGAGGAGAGUGGAAUUCCCGGUGUAGUGGUGAUAUGCGUAGAUAUCUGGAGGAACACCGGUGGCGAAGGCGGCAUCCUGGACCAUUACUGACGCUGAUGAGCGAAAGCCAGGGGAGCAAACGGG
rnacentral:rRNA from 1 species